CCUACGGGAGGCAGCAGUGAGGAAUAUUGGUCAAUGGACGAGAGUCUGAACCAGCCAAGUAGCGUGAAGGAUGACUGCCCUAUGGGUUGUAAACUUCUUUUAUAAAGGAAUAAAACGAGGCACGUGUGCCUUUUUGCAUGUACUUUAUGAAUAAGGAUCGGCUAACUCCGUGCCAGCAGCCGCGGUAAUACGGAGGAUCCGAGCGUUAUCCGGAUUUAUUGGGUUUAAAGGGAGAGUAGAUGGGUUGUUAAGUCAGUUGUGAAAGUUUGCGGCUCAACCGUAAAAUUGCAAUUGAUACUGGCAGUCGUGAGUACAGUUGAGGUAGGCGGAAUUCGUGGUGUAGCGGUGAAAUGCUUAGAUAUCACGAAGAACCCCGAUUGCGAAGGCAGCUUACUAAACUGUGACUGACAUUGAUGCUCGAAAGUGUGGGUAUCAAACAGGAUUAGAUACCCCAGUAGUC
rnacentral:rRNA from 1 species